AUGAACUCGCUCGCUCGCUCGCUGAGCCCAUUCUCCUCACUCCCUACCCCAGGAAUGGGCUCUCCUAACGCUACCACCUCCUACCCACCCCAGAAACAAGCACUCCCUUUCCCUUCCGGGGACGUCUUAUCCUCACUGUCACUUCCGGGGCAGCCAUUUUGGGAGGCUGACACUUACUUACUGGCGGCUUUGGGGGGUGAGCUUGGGCCCGAGCUAUAGCAGCUGGUAAUAGUAGUAGGAGGUAGCCUGCGACGUUACCCCCACCAUGUCAGAUUUCGAUUACAAUCCCUUCGCUGACCCGGACCUCAACAACCCCUUCAAGCUCUCUGAUAU